rnacentral:lncRNA from 1 species
GCUGGCAGAGACUUCUCUGAUGAGAAAAUGAUAAGUGUUUUCAAAUGCUGUUCUGGUUAAAAGAAAGCUGAUCCAAGGACUCUACUGCAAAUCAUCUCUUUGGGGUGUUGACUGUCAAGAAAGGUAUUUUUCUGUGCCUUCCUUGCCCUGCCUCUCAGAUGACACCUGUUUCCUGGUGGCAUUUCUUCUAACUUGAGUUAGAUUCACAAUUUCUCAAGCUGCUGGAAGGAUCCUACGAUCAACUUUUCCUGGGGAGACAUGAACAAAUGCCUACUCACUCCAGAUUGGGCACCAUCAAGAAACCAAAUGAAUGACUGUACCCAAGUCUAGCUUAGUGAAGCAAUGCAUUUUUUUGCACUUGUUCCCAGGAAUAUGGAUCUUCGAUGUGAUAAGAAACACCUAAACUCAAAGUAAUUUGAAAGAAUAAACAACUUCAGUUAAAGAAGGUCCCCAAAGAAGUGUAAAGUACAAGUGUAAAACAUGUAGAGUUAGUGAGCACCUUGCAGACACACAGGAUGUACUUCUCCAAGAUGGUGCAAUGGAGCAGAAACAGCUCAUGUCCCUAAUAAGAAGCCACGAGGGACCUCAUUGCUUAUUGAAGAGUCUUGCAGCAUACUUUGUUCGUUGGUCUUUUCUUAAUGGUUGGCUAUUUCUCCUCCAAUUCAAGAACAUUAAAAUCUAACAGAACAAAGACCGUGACCACCCCAGACACACAUCCCACAACUCCAAGCUAUGUGUGUCCAGAAGAGAAACAAAACAAAAUUUAUGGCUUUUGCUCUAGUAAUUCCUGCCACCCACUGAUCUAAGUCAUUCUUGAACACGAUUAUGAGUGUUUUCAUACAUAUGUGAUGCAUUGAGUAACUGAAUGGAUCCCAUCUGGGAGAUAUAUAAAGUGGACACUGAAGUGACUCAUCAGGCAGCUGCAGAGAAUACACAGAUGAGAAUGGCAGGGAACUCCACCAUGAAGAUGCUGAGCAUCAUCCACACCAUUUCCAGAAGAUGGAAAAAGCCACAUGACUGUGGAACACCACAAAAUUGAGGAAGAGUUUGAAGCUCACGGCUGCCAGAGUGAAACCUUGGGCUCUGGUAUUAGCUGCCUUGUACAUGGCUGAUUGGAACACAAAGGAAAAUAAUCUUGUAAGUUGUU